rnacentral:lncRNA from 1 species
CCUCGCCGGUCGCCGCGGCAGCCAGUGAUGCCCGAGCGGCGGGUUCCCAGGCCCAGGUGUGGGCGCCACCGCCCACCAUGCGCCAAGCCCAGAGCCUGGUUGAAUCGUUCGCCACCUUGUCUACCCAUUUUGGCCAUUAUCCUGCCACCUCCAAAUCCUGUUUUUGACACUUCUCGGGAGAGAGAGAAAACGGAAAGAUAAAGGAAUAAACUCCUCGUGGUCGUAGUUAGUGGGUAAAUUCAGAUCUCGUUUGAACCGAGGUUUUUCUUAUCUCCAGCCACCGUAUCCACCACCACCAGAAUCGUCUUUUUAGUCAUCACAGCUGGUCGCCGUCAGUACCUUGUUCAGAAGCCUCUCGCAGCUUCCAUCGUGUGGUUAUACAAUCCAAAUUCCUUAUAAAGUCCAAAUUCAAGAGGAGGAAUGCACGUUUAGUUAAGUUAAUGUCUAGACCUUACCAGCCAAUUUCUAGCUCCUCAGUAUGGAAAUUGCAACUGAAAACACCCCUUCCAAAAAAAGCAGUCUGCAUUUUUCUCUGAGUUUUCUUCUCCAAAUUUCGCACCCCUGACCUUGCUUACACACUCUGGAUACCACCUGCUGUGGAGUGGCGGAAGCAGACAUCCAGCGAUAGCUAAGUUUCCUGUCGUUGACACCCAAGCAAGACAGGCGUGUACCUAACUGAGGACCUGCCGGUGAUAGAAGUCUCAGCUUUUCUCAGAGACAGAUGAGUCUUCCCUUUAAAUGCUGCAAAGUGCUGCAUAGUAGAUGUUAAAUGAAAGUCAGAAAGAAUCAAAUGUGCUGCAAAUAAUUGAAGGGACUGGGGAGCCACGUGCCACCUCUCCUGCCAGAGUUCUGUUCAGCUGUGCCAACAGAUAUACACAAGGAAACCAGAAGAUAAG